ACGGGUGAGUAAUGCUUAUCUAACUUGCCAAUUAGUGGGGGAUAACCAUGGGAAACCAUGGCUAAUACCGCAUUUGUUACUUCGGUAAUGAAAGAGAGUCGCAAGAUUCUCGCUAAUUGAUAGGGAUAAGUCGUAUUAGUUAGUUGGUGGGGUAAUGGCCUACCAAGACCAUGAUGCGUAGCCAGUCUGAGAGGAUGAAUGGCCACAAGGGAACUGAGACACGGUCCCUACUCCUACGGGAGGCAGCAGUGAGGAAUUUUCGGCAAUGGGGGCAACCCUGACCGAGCAAUACUACGUGAAGGAGGAAGGUCUACGGAUUGUAAACUUCUGUUAGCAGGGAAGAAGGGCUGGACGUGAGUUCAGUUUUGACGGUACCUGCAGAGAAAGCCACGACUAACUACGUGCCAGCAGUCGCGGUAAGACGUAGGUGGCGAACGUUAUCCGGAAUUAUUGGGCGUAAAGGGUGCGUAGAUGGUGUAAUAAGUUAUCAGCGGUAAAUCGGGGCUCAACCUCGUGGAAGUCGGUAAUACUGUUAUACUUGAGUACAGGAGAGGUUAAUGGAAUUCCCUGUGGAGCGGUAAAAUGCGUAGAUAUAUGGAAGAACAUCAAUAACGGCGAAGGCAGUUAACUAUUCUGUUACUGACAUUGAGGCACGAAAGCGUGGGGAGCAAAACGGAUUAGAUACCCGUGUAGUCCACGCCCUAAACGAUGAGUACUAGGUAUUGGGAACUUGAUUCUCAGUGCCGCUAGGUAACCCAGUAAGUACUCCGCCUGGGUAGUACGCUCGCAAGAGUGAAACUCAAAGGAAUUGACGGGGACUCGCACAAGCAGUGGAGCAUGUGGUUUAAUCCGAUACAACGCGUAGAACCUUACCAAGGCUUGACAUGUUCGGCAAAGUUAUUGAAAGGUAAUGGAGGUUAUCCGGACACAGGUGCUGCAUGGCUGUCGUCAGUUCGUGCCGUGAGGUGUAUGGUUAAGUCCUAUAACGAACGUAACCCUUAGGUUUAGUUGCCAGCAUUCAGUUGGGGACUCUAGACCGACUGCCCGAGUAAUCGGGAGGAAGGAAAGGAUGACGUCUGGUCGUC
rnacentral:rRNA from 1 species